AUUGAACGCUGGCGGCAUGCCUUACACAUGCAAGUCGAACGGCAGCACGGGAGCAAUCCUGGUGGCGAGUGGCGAACGGGUGAGUAAUGUAUCGGAACGUACCUUUCAGUGGGGGAUAACGUAGCGAAAGUUACGCUAAUACCGCAUAUUCUGUGAGCAGGAAAGCAGGGGAUCGCAAGACCUUGCGCUGAUUGAGCGGCCGAUAUCAGAUUAGCUAGUUGGUGAGGUAAAGGCUCACCAAGGCGACGAUCUGUAGCGGGUCUGAGAGGAUGAUCCGCCACACUGGAACUGAGACACGGUCCAGACUCCUACGGGAGGCAGCAGUGGGGAAUUUUGGACAAUGGGCGCAAGCCUGAUCCAGCCAUGCCGCGUGUGUGAAGAAGGCCUGAGGGUUGUAAAGCACUUUCAAUCGUGAAGAAAGUUAGCAGGCUAAUACCCUGUGACCUUGACGUUAACGAUACAAGAAGCACCGG
rnacentral:rRNA from 1 species